AUUUUAGAGGAAAAAUUUGAACUGAUUGCAACCUCUGACGCUGAUAUUUAUAUCUGCUGAAACAAAAAAUGCUAAAGCAGUAAUA
rfam:Polaribacter atrinae strain KACC 17473 LPB303_27, whole genome shotgun sequence.